UCGUUCGUGUCGGGUUCUCGGAGCGACGGAGAUCGCCUUCUUCUUGUUGCGCAAGCGAUGGCGGCGGCGGUGGUGGUGGCGGCGGCGGCAUUCCAAAGACCGGACACGAUGUGCGAGACGGAGAGAAAAAGAUCGUAAGAUUUAAUCCGCAGACACUAGAUGGAAGGAAAUUAUUCGAAAGACAAAAAAGGAUGAGAACGCGAGGAAGGACAAAAUACAACUAGCGAAGAUAAUUUUAGAUGCUGUGUUCGAGAGGUAUAUUUGAGCCAACUGUAGGUCGAGAGAAGCUGUGAGAACGAACAAAGCACGAGUUGUCGUUUGGAUUCCCGCCGUCCUUGCAUCUCGAAACACGCGCACGAAGAGGAGAAAAGUACACUCGAUGUAAUCUGACGACAUUCUUCAACUAUACGCUGCUGAAGUUCUCUUAACGAAGCCGGUUGGGUGGCAUAUAUUCUGGUUUAUAAAUAUCCACAUAGAUAAGAAAAAAAUCAAAUUAAUGGAUAAAUCUAGCUUUCAAAUAAAUCAAAGUAUUUUUUGUUAUAGGAUCUACCGAUCCACACAUUCAUCAAAAUAUACUAUCUACUGUAGAAUGUUUGACGUAUACUGAGCAACGAUUUUAUUACUGGAUGGACUUCAACGAUACACAUUUUGAAUAUUUAAUGAAAUAAAAAUUUUUUUCAACCUAAUAUUAGAAAUACAUUUUCUCGGAAACUAUUACCAAAUAAAAAAAAAUACCAACGUUAUAAAGAAAAUUACAAGAUCUUUCAAAUGAUAUACCAUUUGGAUUUUUUAUUUGAAUUGUCACCCCCUCUUCUACAUAUGAUAUGGAUCUAUCAAAACUAAAUUGAGAUGU